GCCCGGGUAGCUCAGGCAGCAGAGCAGGAGACUCUUAAUCUCUGGGUUGUGGGUUUGAACCCCACGUUGGGCC